UAUUACAGUUCUACCUGCUGCCAUCUCAACUCAGCUCUCUCCUACAACUGCUACACAUUCAGCAUCGUCAGGUGCUGGGUUAUCUGCAACCGCAGCCACAGCAGAGCCUGUGGCCCUGCCAUCCACACCUGUGCCCCUGGCAGGAGCCUGGAUGGAGGUGAGGCUGCUGAACGGCACAGGGAGGUGCUCAGGCCGCGUGGAAGUUCUCGUCCAG